rnacentral:rRNA from 1 species
UACGUAGGGGGCAAGCGUUGUCCGGAUUAUUGGGCGUAAAGAGCGUGUAGGCGGCUUUACAGGUCCGUUGUGAAAACUCGAGGCUCAACCUCGAGACGCCGGUGGAAACCGUAAGGCUAGAGUCCGGAAGAGGAGAGUGGAAUUCCUGGUGUAGCGGUGAAAUGCGCAGAUAUCAGGAGGAACACCCGUGGCGAAAGCGGCUCUCUGGGACGGUACUGACGCUGAGACGCGA